rnacentral:rRNA from 1 species
AUGAGCCCCCCACCGCCGCAGCGCGGCCGCCACUCGCCGCCGGCGCUGGACGACGACUCCAUGAGCGAGAUCUUCCUGCGCAUCCCGCCGGACGACCCCAAGAGCCUCGUCCGCGCCGCCGCCGUCUGCCCGACCUGGCACCGCAUCCUCUCCGACGCCGCCUUCGCCCGCGGCUACCGUGCCUUCCACAGGGCGCCGCCCAUGCUGGGCUUCCUCCACAACAAGAGACACGAGAGGCCGUGGGGCAGGGGGUGGCGCAGGCGCCACGAGGAGUACCUGGUCUCCAACUUCGUCUCCACCGCGUCCUUCCGCCCGCCGGCGUGCCACGAGCGCCGCCACUGGCCCGCCAUGGACUCCCGCCACGGCCUCGUCCUCUUCCACACCCCCAAGAGGUGCGAGGACUUCGUCAUCUGCGACCUCGUCACCUACGACCGGUGGAGGAUCAAGGCCGACCCCGCCUGCCGCCGCAUCAUCUGGAAUGGCCGGUUUGAUGAGGAUUGGGGCGAGUACGAUGAUGAGGACGAGGACGUCACCUGGAACGCCGCGGUGCUCUGUGCCAAGGACGGCUGCGACCACCUCUACUGCCACGGCGGGCCUUUCCUCGUGGCCCUCGUGGGCUCCGUCAGGGGACGGCAGAUGACAUUUGCCUCCGUCUACUCAUCGGCGACUCGUAAAUGGAGCGGCAUGAUCUCCGUCAAGGAACCGAAUGUCAUCGAGAUGACCGGGCACAAUGCAGUUGUGGGAAACAAGGUGUAUUUCCCCUGUGAGCAGAGCGACAGUGUCUUGGAGUAUGACAUGGGUGAGCAAAAACUGUCGGUGAUACGUGCGCCGUUUGCUGGACUGGUGGGAGCGGAGGGCGGCCUGCUCGUGUUCGCGACGGUGCUGAAGCCUAGGCUCCACAUAUGGUUAAUGGAGGUCCGUGUCCGUCCUGAUAGAACUACGGCUUUGGCGCGACGCAGGAGCAUUGAGCUCGCACCAAAGCUCUCUGCUUAUGCCUUGUUGGACGUGUCGGUGGUUGGUUUUGCAGAAGGUGUUGGUGUCAUAUUCCUGAGUACAAAGGCUGGGUUGUACACAGUUGAGCUCAGUUCGGGCCGAAUCAAGAGCAUGGACAGAGAGCCAAGCCUCGGCAAAAUCAUGCCAUACAUGUGCUUCUACACUAGAGAAUGGGGGCGGUUGCCGACCUCUGACUAA